rnacentral:rRNA from 1 species
AACGUAGGGGCUAGCGUUGCCCGGAAUCACUGGGCGUAAAGCGGGUGUAGGCGGUUCUUUAAGUCGAUGUGAAAUCCAGCGGCCCAACCGCUGAAUUGCAUCCGAUACUGGGGAACUUGAGGACGGUAGAGGUCGGUGGAAUAUCCGGUGUACCGGUGAAAUGGACAGAUAUCGGAUGGAACACCAGUGCGAAGGCGGGCCAACUGGGCC